rnacentral:misc_RNA from 1 species
GGAAUCAUCAAAUCUUUGAACGCAAAUUGCGCUUACUGGCAUCCCGGGAAGUAUGCCUGUUCGAUGGUCAGUAUUAAUAAAAAAUCGGAUUAGUUACAAAUUGUGACGUUUCCGGAGUUUGUUCUAUCUUAACAUUUUUGGUUAAGAGGCUUAAAAUUGACCUUAUUUGCGCAUUUUUAGACGUACAUAAAUUUUUUUUUUAUCAUUUUUUUCUUAUUGCAAAAAUCUUAUUAGAGGUUAUCCCU